UACGUAGGGGGCAAGCGUUGUCCGGAUUUAUUGGGCGUAAAGAGCGUGUAGGCGGCUAGCCAGGUCUGCUGUGAAAACUCGAGGCUCAACCUCGAGAUGUCGGCGGAAACCGUCUGGCUAGAGUCCGGAAGAGGAGGGUGGAAUUCCUGGUGUAGCGGUGAAAUGCGCAGAUAUCAGGAAGAACACCUAUGGCGAAGGCAGCUCUCUGGGACGGUACUGACGCUGAGACGCGAAAGCGUGGGGAGCGAACAGG
rnacentral:rRNA from 1 species